rnacentral:rRNA from 1 species
UACGGAGGGGGCUAGCGUUGUUCGGAAUUACUGGGCGUAAAGCGCGCGUAGGCGGCUUUGUAAGUUAGAGGUGAAAGCCCAGGGCUUAACCCUGGAAUUGCCUUUAAGACUGCAUCGCUAGAAUUGUGGAGAGGUAAGUGGAAUUCCGAGUGUAGAGGUGAAAUUCGUAGAUAUUCGGAAGAACACCAGUGGCGAAGGCGACUUACUGGACACAUAUUGACGCUGAGGUGCGAAAGCGUGGGGAGCAAACAGG